UGUAAAGGUCCAGAUUUUGACGGUCAACCUAUGUCAAGAUUUUUACAGCUUCUUUCUCUCAGGCUGGGCCAGAUGCCAGUGUCACACUUUGGUGUUUGUUAUGUGGAAAGUACUAAUUUAGUCUGAGGCAACAACACAGGUGGUGGGAUUCUUUUGCACUGUGAGUUGAGAUAUACAUACCAGCUUUCCAAAACAUUUGACCUGGUUAAGAUAUUUUGAAGGGUAUGUGCACUACAGAGCUUUGAACUUGGUGCUUGAGGACGGACAAACAGACACAUUUCCAAGAUAGGGG